UACAGAGGGUGCAAGCGUUGCUCGGAAUCAUUGGGCGUAAAGGGCAAGUAGGUGGUCUCAUUUGUCUUGUGUGAAAUCCUUGGGCUUAACUCAAGAAGUGCGCAAGAAACAGUGAGACUAGAGUUCUGGAGAGGGUCGUGGAAUUCCCGGUGUAGCGGUGAAAUGCGUAGAGAUCGGGAGGAACACCAGAGGCGAAGGCGGCGACCUGGACAGAUACUGACACUCAACUGCGAAAGCGUGGGGAGCAAACAGG
rnacentral:rRNA from 1 species